UUAUUAUGACAAUGUACAUGACAACAAAAAGAGAGCUUCCAGCUGCUGUUAAAUUAUUGUAAAAAUUGGAUAUCACACACUCUUGCAGGGACACAAAAAAAGGUCAGUUUCAAGUCACUUCUGCUAGAAAUGUGAACGGAGCUCCUGUCCUCUCCGGUGAGAUUCAAACCCACCAGUGAUGGCUUUUUA